rnacentral:misc_RNA from 1 species
GUCGAGGGGCCGCUCCGGGACUACCGCGAAGAUGAUGUCAUUUAUAGCAUCGGAGUGGCUCCAUGGAAGAGUACUACGAUUAGUAUGGAAAUAACAUCAAUGAAAAGUAUCGAAGAACGUUCGUUCUAGACUGCGUACGUCCCCGCCCACUGGUAGUCGGCAUACUCGUUUAUCAUGCGUACAUAUGACUUAGUGUUUAGGUAGUCGUAGACGUUUCCUGUAUGUUAAGAAACUACAAACGAGGACACAUAUAUCGAACACCAACUAAUUAAAAUGUUUUCCAGUUAUUAGUUAAUCGGCCUGCGCCCACAGAAAUAUUACUAUUUUGGGCUAAGAUCGAACAAGAAGAAACAGGGAUUUUAUGUGAAAUAUGUUGUCCAAUUUACUGAAACUGCAUUCUAUUAUCCGUCGGCAAGUGUACGCUGUGGGCUUCUAGCACAACGGUAGCGUAUUGAGAUCGACAAGGGCAUGUGAUCCGGACACUGUCACUGUGUUUCACGCCGGUACUGGAGCACUAGUAGCUAUUUAAUAUCGAUAACAAAAUGACGUCUCAGCAAAUCCAGCCUAUGUUAAACCUAGGAUUGUCAUUUCCAACCUUCGUUUGAAAAAAUCAUCUUAUAAUAUUAAAAGGAAACAAUAUAUAUUAUAAUAUAUCUCAUAGCCUUUCGUAACUCGGUGUAAGAAUUUGGUCUGUAUUUAUCCACAUUUUUAUGAGGUAUAUGAAGCUUAUUAAAUUUAUUCCCAUAGGAAAGUACUUUCUUAUUCUUUCAUUUAAAUUUAGGGAUUUUUGUCCUACACAGACACGAUAGUCAUUGUAACACGUAUACAUAAGAAAAUCUUAAAUAAAAAAUCCUUCGCGUUCUGACGACUCGCAACCCUUCUCAGCGCUUCUGACAGCGCUUUCUCCACAUUGAUUUCGUCCGAUGCCGAGGUGCGAUCUCGCUAAAAGACACCCUUAAGACGAACGGAAUGUGGACAUCCCAAGACCUCCUAAGGGCUCCUCUUCUUCCUUCACGGCUGGAUCUCAGUACCCGGCCACUCCACCCAGUGACGCUGUAAAGGCCGAUAAACAAACAACAGCCGACAGCACUUAACAGGUCGAAAUAAGGUCUAAUUAAAUAAAUAAAUAAAAACUAAUUUUUAUAAAUCAAAUAUCAUUCUAGCAUAUUAUGAUAAAGGUCCCGAUAGAAUAAUUUGCACCGCCCCAACAUCGAGGAAAGUACUUAUUUAACUGGAUUUGCUGCGGUGACGUCUACUUACACUGGGCUGCGUAAGGGACAUAACGAUAUGAGUAGCAAUAGGUGCCUAAAAUAGAUUUAAAUAACACUCGCAUUUAAUCGAAACAUUUUGAAAUAUUUUAUAACUAGAAUACAUAAAAGCUAAUAAUUAGGAUAGUUGACAUGACAUACCUUUAUAAUUGGUUUAAUUAACAACAGCUGCAGAUUUCAUUGACAUAUAAAAAUGUGAAUUUAUAUAUAACUAAUCCGGUAUAUUCCUGUUAUUCAUUGUUAGAAAAAAAAUGUAUAAGGUGUCAACUAAAAAGGAUAUUUAAAUAAAACAAUGAAAAUGUUUAAUUCUGAACAUCAUUCGAUAUUAUUAUUCACGAGCUUUACGUCAAUAAAAAUGUCCAAAUGAAUCUUGCUUGAACUUUAUGUUGUACCUUAGCUUGGCGACCACUGCACUAUUUGCGGUAAACAUAGUUCGAGUACCUACUUUAAAAAUAUUAAUUUAAUACAUCUUUUGGAACGAAGAAUGAAAUACAGUUUUUGUUACCAAAGUUUUUUCUUUAUCACAAUAUUGAGUUUAGAUGACCAAUUGUAUUUAGACUAUCAGCUAAUAAAUUGUUUUUGAGGACAGUCAAAAAUUUUUCUUGAAAGGAAACGUUAGUAGAGCCGAAUUAUAAUUCAUGAAUCGCAUAAAGGCAUCGCUGUUGUUAGAUAGACCAAUUCGUAAGUAGUCUAAUAGCGCAAUUAGCGAGGCAUUGACGAUGCAUCUAAUGCCGUCUGUCACUUUUGAGUGCGUGCUAUGUUCUGUGUGUGAGGGCGCACCUCACGUAUCGCCUCAGGUCUCUCUUUGAGAAAAAAAUAUAUCGUUGAAAUUCUAAUAUUUUUAAUGUAUUCCUAAUGGCAGAACUGUAAAAGGCUACAAUUUCAGUCGAAUACUUUAUUUAUUUACAUUAAAUUGGGCUCGUAUGUAAGAACUGUAUGUCAGAAAACAUGGCCAAUAAAUUAGGGCCGCGAGUGUGAUACAGCCCGUUGGCUCUGAGAGAGGCGGUGGGGUGCGCGUAAUUAUAGUUUAGUUGGUUAUUGUUGGGUAUGCGUACUUGUAUCUCGAGUAGAAUCACUGGAGGCCUUCACACGUGUUUAGUUGUUUGCGGCGCGACACAAACGAACACGCGCAGCUACACAAACGAUUUAUAUUUUAUAAAGAGUUGUUGUUUAUUUAUACAUUAUAUUUGUAUAUAACGGUGCGAAGUUUAAUAAAAUAAGCACUACACGGUGUGUUGUUUUAUUUUCAAUUAUAUCCUACUGUUGAAAUUAGAUUUUUAUUAAAUGACUAAUAUGUAAACAUGUUCAGUACCUAUAUUAUGAAAUAAUUACGAGUUUUACCCA